AGCAAAGAAGUAAAAUUUUACAGUUAGUUUCGACCUAAACCUAGGGAAAUUAUUAACCCCAUGCUU
rnacentral:tRNA from 1 species